AAUCAACGCUGGCGGCGUGCCUCAGACAUGCAAGUCGAACGCGAAAGUCCCCUUCGGGGGCAAGUAGAGUGGCGCACGGGUGAGUAACACGUAGGUAAUCUACCUUUGGAUGGGGAAUAACAACCGGAAACGGUUGCUAAUACCGCAUAAUGCAGCGGCACCUAAUGGUGACAGUUGUUAAAGCGGGGGAUCGCAAGACCUCGCGUCUGAAGAGGAGCCUGCGGCGGAUUAGCUAGUUGGUAAGGUAACGGCUUACCAAGGCUAUGAUCCGUAGCCGGCCUGAGAGGGCGGUCGGCCACACUGACACUGACAUACGGGUCAGACUCCUACGGGAGGCAGCAGUCGGGAAUUUUGGGCAAUGGGCGAAAGCCUGACCCAGCAACGCCGCGUGAAGGAUGAAAUCCUUCGGGAUGUAAACUUCGCAAGAACAGGAAGAAUAAGUGAGAGUUAAUAUCUAUUACGAUGACGGUACUGUUUGUAAGCUCCGGCUAACUCCGUGC
rnacentral:rRNA from 1 species